UUGAACUAAGAAAAUCAUGUUACGAAAAAAAAUGGAGCGAUGAGUUCCCGGCCCCUGGAAGAGCAGAACAUGCUCCAGCCCCAGGAGGGGCAGCGGCACAGGGAGCUGCGUUGCUGCAGGAGCGGGGAGGAGCGCGGGACGCAUUCCCCAAACUCACUAAUUGGCAGGCGCGGGGCCCCUGCCGCUCCCAGGGAGAAUCCAUCCGAACACGAACAGCUCUGCGGCCCGUUGGCACAAUAUCACAGCGAUUUCUUCUUCCAGCAAGUCGCAUUUAAUCUCUGCCCAGACAUUUCAAGGCAGAGCUGUCUUAUUUCUCUCGUUACGGCAGGACACCUUCCCACGCCAUUCCCUGGAGUCAGAGUUUUUGGGAGCGCAGCAGGACGAGGUCCAGCCAGUCACAAACCUCCCUCAUGUGUCGUCUUCUUUUCCUCUAUGAGCCCACGAUUGCCUCUGAGAAGCUCAGCAAUUUGCCAUCCUGAAUAUUCCACCCCAGCUCCUACAAUCUGCCCUCCCCUUCUUGAGCAGGAAGGUUAAAAACACCCCGAGGCAGCACAUUGUGAGUGGUGGAUGAAGCAGUGCUGUCUGCAAGGCUUUCCACAUUCCUCUGUGUUCGGGGUGGGAAAGACCAAGCACAGAGUUAUCUUCUGCUGCCUUUUACCACCUACCCCUGGCCCAGGUUCUUUGCCAUUUAUCACUGUUGUUAUCGCUAUUUAUCACUAUUAUUAUAAUCUCUAUUUAUCUGUGGUCCAGGGUACACAGCAGGAGCCUUCCUCCCACUUCCCCUGCGCUGUUCUAAAGAGAGGGUGUGCUUUGUAGGGUGGUUCAUGAUGGAAUCAUGGGUGGGAAACCACGAGCUGAGCCGUGGGUGGGAAAGCUGGAAUGCCACCUGUGGCUACAUAUUCCUCAAAACAACUGACUUUGGAAAGCACUGCAAUAAGAGACAGAUUAUCCAGUUUUAUAUAGGAGUUCAAGAAGAGGGCUGCAGUUUGGGGGGAAAAAGCUUCUAAGACCCUGGGCCCAACUCAAAAGAAAUUGGUUUUGACUUAGUGAAGAGGCUUGGACGUGUGUGAAACACAAAGUAAUGGGCAGCAGAACCAGGGCAAAUACAUUCGGAGCAUAUUGUGCAGAUGCUGCUGUAGCUGGAGAAAGGAAAGACAGUCUGAUUAACCUCAUUCCCUGAUAAAAAUCACACCAAACACUCUGAGAGAAGAGGAUAAACAUCCUGCCUCAAAGUCUCAUUUUACCCACAUUGCCCUCCAAGUGCUUGAGAAGCCACAGAGGGAUUGCACGUUGUCGAUAUCCCAAUGGAAGGCUGAGGUUACCUCCAACACCCCAGAAAUUUUUUUGAACACCUUCAGCUUACAAAUCCUUUAUGGAAUUACAAACAAGAGAUUCUCUGGUUUCAAAGGGGUGGCAAAAAAGCAGACUCUCCUCCAGGACAUCGCUCAGUGGAUCAUAUAACCACCUUCCAAAGAGAGAGCCUGAAACACCAGCACCCUGUGCAGCAGCUUUUCUCCUUGCCAGGAGCAAGGCUGUGGGGGCAAAGAUAGUUUAUGUAGUGCUGUGCUGGAGAGCCCACCUUGCUGCUGAUACCCAGACAUGGCAGCUGAACACUGUAUCUCCCGUUACCCUGUUUUUAAUGCAGCUCAGGGGAGUUUUGUGUUAAAUUUCUAGUCCGGCUGAUGAGGGAAUUGAUGCUGGGCUUCUGUAAGAAAUGUGUCUUGUAACAGUACAGCACGUUGAUGAAGUAACCAAAACAAUACAAAACCACUGUGAAACACAUUAAAUGGAUUAAGAAUUGGCUAACUCCAGGUCUUAAAUACAAUUAUAACCAGAGAAAUUUUCUUUGAGUGGGCGUGUGUUUGGACAGAUCCCACAGGGACUGGUUCUUGGCUCUACACUACUGUAUUUUAUCAACAGCUUAGGAAAAAAACCUUUAAAUCAUUAUCAGCAGAUUUUUCAGAUGAAAAAGGC